UACGUAGGGUGCGAGCGUUAAUCGGAAUUACUGGGCGUAAAGCGUGCGCAGGCGGUUCGUUGUGUCUGCUGUGAAAUCCCCGGGCUCAACCUGGGAAUGGCAGUGGAAACUGGCGAGCUUGAGUGUGGCAGAGGGGGGUGGAAUUCCGCGUGUAGCAGUGAAAUGCGUAGAGAUGCGGAGGAACACCGAUGGCGAAGGCAGCUCGCUGGGACGGUACUGACGCUGAGGCGCGAAAGCGUGGGGAGCAAACAGG
rnacentral:rRNA from 1 species